rnacentral:rRNA from 3 species
CACCCGUUCCCAUGCCGAACACGGAAGUUAAGCUCUUCAGCGCCGAUGGUAGUUGGGGGCUUCCCCCUGUGAGAGUAGGACGCCGCCAAGC